rnacentral:rRNA from 1 species
ACCCGCUGAACUUAAGCAUAUCACUAAGCGGAGGAAAAGAAACUAACCAGGAUUCCCCUAGUAGCGGCGAGCGAACCGGGAA